AACGCAUCUUGCACUCUUUGGUAUUCCGAAGAGUAUGUCUGUUUGAGUGUCAUGAAUUCUUCAACCCUCCCUUUUCUUAGUGAAUUGAGAGGUGUUUGGAUUCUGAGUGUUGCUCCUAACCCGAGCUCAUUCGUAAUGCAUUAGCAUCCAUAUUCGAAUUUCGGAUUGACUUGGCGUAAUAGACUAUUCGCUGAGGAAUCUAACUUCGGUUAGAGCCGUGUUUGAACUAGGAAGCUACUAAUCUAGCUUAGUCUACCUUAAGAUUAGAUCUCAAAUCAGGCAGGAUUACCCGCUGAACUUAA
rnacentral:misc_RNA from 1 species